UCACUUAUAUUCACAAGGUAAAAGGGAGAAAGACAUCAUGGAAGGGAAAAGCCUAAGUAUUGAUGGUGUGUUUCUCAAAAAAAAAAAAAAAAAACCCAAAAAAAAAAAAAACACCACAUUUUUACUCAAAUCUCCAGGUAAAGGAAGUUAAGAGAUCAAGUUUUGCAUCAAACCGUAUUUUCUAAAGAAUAAGAAGUGUGGAACCCUAAUGUGUCCCACCGAUGACCGAAUGUAAUCCUCUGAUUUAUCAGAAUAUCAAAAACUUUGUGAAGAAGAAGCUGGGACAAUUGAAAAGCAUGCUUGGAGCCUAUAGUUGGACAGACACUCAUAUUGUUUGUUGUCCCUGUGACAGAGAAACUGUUGGGUGUAGCUGGUGUGGAAAAACUGUAAACUGUAUUGUGUGUGAAUUCCCAAGGAUGAAAUUUGUAAGUGGACCCUGAAAAACCUACCAUUGAAAUGCUGUUGUAAGGGAGAAGUUUUUUUUUUCCUACAACUAGAAGAAAGGUGGUUCUUUAGCUUCACAGAACUUUGAGAGGAAGCCUAAAGAAUUCGCUGACAGAAACUCACUAUUGUGGAUAUAACUGUAUUGCUUGUCCUAGAUUCUUAUCCAGGAGGUGAUUAAUUACUGCAUCUAAAAAAGGCACAUGUUAAGCUCAACCAGAUAUUUGAAGUCAUUUUGCAUGAUUUCCCCAUACUGAAUCUCUUUUUUUGAUGAAAGCUACUAGCAAAAAUUUAUAUUUGUACAGCAGUUGUUUUCAUCUCGAUGGGCUGUACACACACAGUGACUGGGAGCAGGGAUGUCCUUCAGCGAUGUCUUCAUAGCAACACAGCUAGCAUUACUCAAGAAUUGAUAGCAGUGCUUCUUGGAAUUAAAGCAGUUCAGCAUACAUGCUCUGCAUGGAAUUGACUCACAUUAUGACUUAAAAAAUGCCUUAAGAGUUAUUCAGAUGAAGAUUUAGACAUCUGCUAAAGAAUGCCUAUAUAGGUGUGUGUAUGUAAGUGAGAUUCCUGUCUUGCAUAUGUUUUCUGUUUUGCCUCCGCAUCUAAUGGACAUAUAGUAAGCAUAUUUUGGAAAAUUCAGUCAAAUGUGAAUUGUUCUUGUCUUUCUCAGUGGUGUCAUACUCGUAUAGAAUCGUCAGUUUUUUUGAUGAAACAAACCUAAUCAUUUUAAAAUUAAGUUCAGGUGAGUUGCACUUUAAGCCUCUGCUCUGGCUUGCUUUUGCAUGAAAAAACAGUUGCAUAGUCUGCAAUCAUAGUACUUUUUAAUACUGUUAAAAUAAUAAUUUGUUUUAAAAACGAUUUAGCUGGCUGAGAAAGGAGUUAUCAAAUAAAACUACUGAAAAUAUGGC